ACAUACGACCAUAGACUGAAGAGAACAGGGCAUCCCGUCCGCUCUGCCAAACUCAAGCUUCAGAUCGGUAGAUUAGUAGUUGGGUGGGUGACCACCAGCGAAUACCUACUGUUGUAUGUU
rnacentral:rRNA from 1 species